rnacentral:tRNA from 1 species
GGUGGCUCAGUGGUAGAGCGCUUGCCUUGUAUGCACAUAGCCCUGGGUUCGAUUCCUCAGCACCA